GGCACUUCUUCAUGCUGCCUUGCGAAGAAGCUGGCUUGCUUCCUCUUUGUCUUCCGCCAUGAUUGUAGAUUUCCUGAGGCCUCCCAAGCUGUGCUGAACUACCAAACCAAUGCAGACCAAACCAAUGCAGAACUCCUAUGUGCUGAUGGUGGUCUUACAUUUCCCUAAGUUUCUGCCGACUAAACUGUGCACACGUUCUCAGGACCUCCUGAAGCUGCGUCACAGGCACUAAUCAAAGAACACAACCAAGAGUUUGGCCUUUUCUUCAGCACUGGGAAUUGUGAUCCAAAGCUUUUCCUGAUGAAGCACAAAGUUGGAGAAAAAAAACGCAAACUAAACAACAACAAUGAAACAGAACAGAGUGAAUCUGCUGUAGCUCAAGAGAGGACGUAGCUGCCCCCACUCCGCAUCCCCGGGCUCGGGUUUGCCUUGCUGACCUCUGCUGCCACCUGGUGCCGCACAGAGAAACUGAGGAGAAACCACAUCAGUCUCCUUCAGCCUCAGCUUCACAUCUGUGGGUCAAGUAACCCUUUCAGAAGCUGAAUAAUGUGGGAAAGCUUUCCUCUCAGGAAAAUGCACACAUCCAACUUUGAGAAGAUGCCCUUGGGGGCGCUUCAAGGAUUCUAGAUAAUAACCCCCUUUCCCGAACAUCCAAGAACCUAAGAUUUUUUUUUUUUUUUUGAGAAAGUCUCGCUCUCUCUCCCAGUCUGGAGUGCAGUGGCGUGAUCUUGGCUCACUGCCAGCUCCACCUCCCAGGUUCACGCCAUUCUCCUGCUUCAGCCUCCCUAGUAGCUGGGGCUACAGGCACCUGCCACCAAACCCGGCUAAUUUUUUUGUAUUUUUAGUAGAGACGGGGUUUCACCGUGUUAGCCAGGAUCGUCUUGAUCUCCUGACCUUGUGAUCCACCCGCCUCGGCCUCCCAAAUUGCUGGGAUUACAGAUGUGAGCCACCGCACCUGGUCCAAGAGCCCAAGUUUUAGAUCUAGAGUGAUGUCAGCAUGACAUUGAUUUCCUGAGGCCCAGGGGCGAAGGAGCUGAGGACAGCAGAGGGGUGAAGGAACUCAGCUACAGACAGCAGCAGCUGAUGCACAGGCCUCCCAGCGCCUGAAGUCACCCGGAAUUGGGAAGUGCUCAGAAGCUUACAAAGCUGCCUCGAGGUGGGAACAUGACAUAAAUCCAAGAGCAGAUCCCUGAUCCUAUAAAAAUGUACUAGAUGCAGUGGGGGCAUUUUAAAUGAGCAGAGAAGGACAGACAGAUAAACAGAAGGACAAACAGUAUUGGGAUUGGGAUAAAUGCUCAGCUUUUGCCCAAAUCUUAGUGACUUAAGCAUCACUUAUUUGCUCACGAUUCUGUGGCUGGACCAUUUGGUUUGGCUCACAGGGCAGGGACUGUGCUGGUCUUACCUGAGCAGACCUGCAUGUCUGCGGUCAACUGGGUUGGCAGAGACAGAGUGACUGUCUUCCUCCAGGAAGCAGCAGGUUAACUGGUUGGCAGAGACAGAGGGACAGAGGGACUGUCUUCCUCCAGGAAGCAGCAGGUUAACUGGUUGGCAGAGACAGAGGGACUGAGGGAUUGUCUUCCUCCAGGAAGCAGCAGGUUAACUGGUUGGCAGAGACAGAGGGACAGAGGGACUGUCUUCCUCCAGGAAGCAGCAGGUUAACUGGUUGGCAGAGACAGAGGGACUGAGGGACUGUCUUCCUCCAGGAAGCAGCAGGUUAACUGGUUGGCAGAGACAGAGGGACAGAGGGACUGUCUUCCUCCAGGAAGCAGCAGGUUAACUGGUUGGCAGAGACAGAGGGACUGAGGGACUGUCUUCCUCCAGGAAGCAGCAGGUUAACUGGUUGGUAGAGACAGAGGGACUGAGGGACUGUCUCCCCCCAGGAAGCAGCAGGUUGGCUCUGUUUCCUUCGUGGGGCAGCUGGUCUCCAGGGCAGCAAGAGAGACCAAGCCCCAGUGCACAUUCUACAGCCUCUGUGCACAUCAGACUUGUUAAUAUCCCAUUGGCCAGUGUAAGUCACAUGGCCAAGCCCAGAUUAAGGAGUGGAAAGAUGGAGGCUAUCUCCUCCUGGGAGAGGAGGCCAAGGAGGUGGGAGUAUUAUGUGGCCACUUAUGUUUGCAAUCUACCAUAAUUAGCACUUUGAGAAAAGAAUUAACUGAGAAACUUGCUUCAAAUAGGGCAUUCAGUAAAAUGAAGCCCCAAUUGAAGUAAAAUGCAUAUAUAAAAAAUGAAACUGUGACCGAUUUUAAGGACAGUAUUGGCAAAUAUUUCUGUGCUCUUGGAGGAGAAGACCCUUAUUGGCAUGACAUGUCAGAAACCACAAUGAAAGAA
rnacentral:lncRNA from 1 species